rnacentral:rRNA from 1 species
AGAGUUUGAUCAUGGCUCAGAUUGAACGCUGGCGGCAUGCCUUACACAUGCAAGUCGAACGGAUUGAGGGGCUUGCUCCUCAGUUAGUGGCGAACGGGUGAGUAAUGCAUCGGAACGUGCCCAGUCGUGGGGGAUAACUACUCGAAAGAGUAGCUAAUACCGCAUACGCCCUGAGGGGGAAAGCGGGGGACUCGCAAGACCUCGCGCGAUUGGAGCGGCCGAUGUCAGAUUAGCUAGUUGGUAGGGUAAAAGCCUACCAAGGCGACGAUCUGUAGCUGGUCUGAGAGGACGACCAGCCACACUGGGACUGAGACACGGCCCAGACUCCUACGGGAGGCAGCAGUGGGGAAUUUUGGACAAUGGGCGAAAGCCUGAUCCAGCCAUGCCGCGUGAGUGAAGAAGGCCUUCGGGUUGUAAAGCUCUUUCGGACAGAAAGAAAUCGCAUGAACUAAUACUUUGUGCGGAUGACGGUACUGUAAGAAGAAGCACCGGCUAACUACGUGCCAGCAGCCGCGGUAAUACGUAGGGUGCGAGCGUUAAUCGGAAUUACUGGGCGUAAAGGGUGCGCAGGCGGUUAUAUAAGACAGAUGUGAAAUCCCCGGGCUCAACCUGGGAACUGCGUUUGUGACUGUAUGACUAGAGUACGGUAGAGAGGGGUGGAAUUCCUGGUGUAGCAGUGAAAUGCGUAGAUAUCAGGAGGAACAUCGAUGGCGAAGGCAGCCCCUUGGACCUGUACUGACGCUCAUGCACGAAAGCGUGGGGAGCAAACAGGAUUAGAUACCCUAGUAGUCC